UACGGAGGAUGCGAGCGUUAUCCGGAUUUAUUGGGUUUAAAGGGUGCGUAGGCGGAUUUUUAAGUCAGCGGUAAAAUGUCCGGGCUCAACCCGGGCCGGCCGUUGAAACUGGGGAUCUUGAGUGGGCGAGAAGUAUGCGGAAUGCGUGGUGUAGCGGUGAAAUGCAUAGAUAUCUCGCAGAACUCCGAUUGCGAAGGCAGCAUACCGGCGCCCGACUGACGCUGAGGCACGAAAGCGUGGGGAUCGAACAGG
rnacentral:rRNA from 1 species